rnacentral:rRNA from 1 species
AAAUUGAAGAGUUUGAUCAUGGCUCAGAUUGAACGCUGGCGGCAGGCCUAACACAUGCAAGUCGAACGGUAACAGGAAGCAGCUUGCUGCUUUGCUGACGAGUGGCGGACGGGUGAGUAAUGUCUGGGAAACUGCCUGAUGGAGGGGGAUAACGACUGGAAACGGUGGCUAAUACCGCAUAACGUCGCAAGACCAAAGAGGGGGACCUUCGGGCCUCUUGCCAUCAGAUGUGCCCAGAUGGGAUUAGCUAGUUGGUGAGGUAACGGCUCACCAAGGCGACGAUCCCUAGCUGGUCUGAGAGGAUGACCAGCCACACUGGAACUGAGACACGGUCCAGACUCCUACGGGAGGCAGCAGUGGGGAAUAUUGCACAAUGGGCGCAAGCCUGAUGCAGCCAUGCCGCGUGUAUGAAGAAGGCCUUCGGGUUGUAAAGUACUUUCAGCGGGGAGGAAGGUGUUGUGGUUAAUAACCGCAGCAAUUGACGUUACCCGCAGAAGAAGCACCGGCUAACUCCGUGCCAGCAGCCGCGGUAAUACGGAGGGUGCAAGCGUUAAUCGGAAUUACUGGGCGUAAAGCGCACGCAGGCGGUCUGUCAAGUCGGAUGUGAAAUCCCCGGGCUCAACCUGGGAACUGCAUUCGAAACUGGCAGGCUUGAGUCUUGUAGAGGGGGGUAGAAUUCCAGGUGUAGCGGUGAAAUGCGUAGAGAUCUGGAGGAAUACCGGUGGCGAAGGCGGCCCCCUGGACAAAGACUGACGCUCAGGUGCGAAAGCGUGGGGAGCAAACAGGAUUAGAUACCCUGGUAGUCCACGCCGUAAACGAUGUCUACUUGGAGGUUGUGCCCUUGAGGCGUGGCUUCCGGAGCUAACGCGUUAAGUAGACCGCCUGGGGAGUACGGCCGCAAGGUUAAAACUCAAAUGAAUUGACGGGGGCCCGCACAAGCGGUGGAGCAUGUGGUUUAAUUCGAUGCAACGCGAAGAACCUUACCUGGUCUUGACAUCCACGGAAGUUUUCAGAGAUGAGAAUGUGCCUUCGGGAACCGUGAGACAGGUGCUGCAUGGCUGUCGUCAGCUCGUGUUGUGAAAUGUUGGGUUAAGUCCCGCAACGAGCGCAACCCUUAUCCUUUGUUGCCAGCGAUUAGGUCGGGAACUCAAAGGAGACUGCCAGUGAUAAACUGGAGGAAGGUGGGGAUGACGUCAAGUCAUCAUGGCCCUUACGACCAGGGCUACACACGUGCUACAAUGGCGCAUACAAAGAGAAGCGACCUCGCGAGAGCAAGCGGACCUCAUAAAGUGCGUCGUAGUCCGGAUUGGAGUCUGCAACUCGACUCCAUGAAGUCGGAAUCGCUAGUAAUCGUGGAUCAGAAUGCCACGGUGAAUACGUUCCCGGGCCUUGUACACACCGCCCGUCACACCAUGGGAGUGGGUUGCAAAAGAAGUAGGUAGCUUAACCUUCGGGAGGGCGCUUACCACUUUGUGAUUCAUGACUGGGGUGAAGUCGUAACAAGGUAACCGUAGGGGAACCUGCGGUUGGAUCACCUCCUUACCUUAAAGAA